rnacentral:rRNA from 1 species
GGUUUCCGUAGGUGAACCUGCGGAAGGAUCAUUGUCGAAUCCUGCCCAGCAGACGACCGAGAACUAGUUACCAAACUACGGGUUGCGGGCGGGCGCGGGAAACCUCGCCCGUCGGCUCCCGAACACAACUAAACUUUCGGCGCGGAAUGCGCCAAGGACUACUCAAACGGAUUGCCGGCCACUUCGCGGCUUCCGCGUGGUGUGCAAGGCAUCUGAUCGCUUAACAAAAAACGACUCUCGGCAACGGAUAUCUAGGCUCUCGCAUCGAUGAAGAACGUAGCGAAAUGCGAUACUUGGUGUGAAUUGCAGAAUCCCGUGAACCAUCGAGUUUUUGAACGCAAGUUGCGCCCGAAGCCAUUAGGCUGAGGGCACGUCUGCCUGGGCGUCACGCAUCGCGUCGCCACCCCCUCCUCCCCUCCGGAUGGGGGUGACGGAAGUUGGCCUCCCGUGCCCUCGCGGCGCGGCCGGCCUAAAUGCGAGUCCUCGGCGCGGGACGUCACGACAAUUGGUGGUUGAACUCUUCAACUCGAAUGCUGUCGAGACGACGCCCGACACGGACUCCCCCGACCCUAGAGCCCUUGGCCCCGAACGGAGCCACGAGCCUUCGACCGCGACCCCAGGUCAGGCGGGAUACCCGC